rnacentral:rRNA from 1 species
GUAGGUGGCAAGCGUUGUCCGGAAUUAUUGGGCGUAAAGCGCGCGCAGGUGGUUCUUUAAGUCUGAUGUGAAAGCCCCCGGCUCAACCGGGGAGGGUCAUUGGAAACUGGGGAACUUGAGUGCAGGAGAGGAAAGUGGACUUCCACGUGUAGCGGUGAAAUGCGUAGAUAUGUGGAGGAACACCAGUGGCGAAGGCGACUUUCUGGCCUGUAACUGACACUGAGGCGCGAAAGCGUGGGGAGCAAACAGGGAUUAGAUACCCUGGUAGUCCACGCCGUAAACGAUGAGUGCUAAGUGUUGGGGGGGUUUCCCGCCCCUCAGUGCUGCAGCUAACGCAUUAAGCACUCCGCCUGGGGAUACGGUCGCAAGACUG